GAGGAACUCUGUGCUACAGCCUGUAUUCUACCACUUCUAUUGGAACUUCAGUGUUCUUGACUGCAAAGCAGAUGGAAGCAUUAUUGUAACAUCUGGCCUCAUUGGAUUCAUAACAUGAUUAAGGUCUUGUCUACUCUAUUUGUCACACACAGAAUGAACAUAAAACUUUUAUCUUUCAUGGAAGAAUAAGGUUUCUUCUAGAGGAAGAUGGUAAGAAAUGUCUGAAAGGUACAUCCAUCUGGUACAUCACGGUUCUGGUACAUCAUAUCCAAUGAAUAUGCCACUCACUUCAUAAAUAUUAAUAAAACUUCUUUAAAGCUCAAAGCAUACAACUCAGGAUGCUUCUACGCUGACUGUCUCUGGGAC